rnacentral:tRNA from 1 species
GGUGAGGUGCCGGAGUGGUCGAACGGGCUCGCUUGGAAAGCGAGUGUGGCUGCAAAGUUACCGUGGGUUCGAAUCCCACCCUCACCGCCA